rnacentral:rRNA from 1 species
GAAACUGAGGCUAAUACCGGAUAGGCAAUUUUUCCUGUAAUGGUUUUUUGUUUAAAUGUUUUUUCGCCUAAGGAUGGGUCUGCGGCCGAUUAGGUAGUUGGUUAGGUAAUGGCUUACCAAGCCGUUGAUCGGUACGGGUUGUGAGAGCAAGAGCCCGGAGAUGGAACCUGAGACAAGGUUCCAGGCCCUACGGGGUGCAGCAGGCGCGAAACCUCCGCAAUGCGAGAAAUCGCGACGGGGGGAUCCCAAGUGCCAUUCUUAACGGGAUGGCUUUUCAUUAGUGUAAAGAGCUUUUGGAAUAAGAGCUGGGCAAGACCGGUGCCAGCCGCCGCGGUAACACCGGCAGCUCUAGUGGUAGCAAUUUUUAUUGGGCCUAAAGCGUCCGUAGCCGGUUUAAUAAGUCUCUGGUGAAAUCCUGUAGCUUAACUGUGGGAAUUGCUGGAGAUACUAUUAGACUUGAGACCGGGAGAGGUUGGAGGUACUCCCAGGGUAGAGGUGAAAUUCUGUAAUCCUGGGAGGACCGCCUGUUGCGAAGGCGUCUAACUGGAACGGUUCUGACGGUGAGGGACGAAAGUUAGGGGCGCGAACCGGAUUAGAUACCCGGGUAGUCCUAACUGUAAACGAUGCGGACUUGGUGUUGGGGUGGCUUUGAGCUGCUCCAGUGCCGAAGGGAAGCUGUUAAGUCCGCCGCCUGGGAAGUACGGUCGCAAGACUGAAACUUAA